GCGGGUGUGGCGGAACUGGCAGACGCACUAGACUUAGGAUCUAGCGCCUUUGGCAUGGGGGUUCAAGUCCCUUCACCCGCACCA
rnacentral:tRNA from 1 species